GAUGAAGAACGCAGCGAAAUGCGAUAAGUAGUGUGAAUUGCAGAAUUCAUUGAAUCAUCGAAUCUUUGAACGCACAUUGCGCCCUUUGGUAUUCCUUAGGGCAUGCCUGUUCGAGCGUCAUUUGAAACCUCAAGCUCAGCUUGGUGUUGGGUGUCUGUCCCCGCCUCCGCGGGGACUCGCCUCAAAAUCAUUGGCGGCCGGUACGUUGGCUUCGAGCGCAGCAGAAACGCGAACUCGAGGCCCGGCGGAUCGGCGACCAGAAGUCUCUUCUUCACAGUUUGACCUCGGAUCAGGUAGGGAUACCCGCUGAACUUAAGCAUAUCAAUAAGCGGAGGA
rnacentral:misc_RNA from 1 species